rnacentral:rRNA from 1 species
GAUGAACGCUGGCGGCGUGCCUAAUACAUGCAAGUCGAGCGAACAGAUAAGGAGCUUGCUCCUUUGACGUUAGCGGCGGACGGGUGAGUAACACGUGGGUAACCUACCUAUAAGACUGGGAUAACUUCGGGAAACCGGAGCUAAUACCGGAUAACAUUUGGAACCGCAUGGUUCUAAAGUGAAAGAUGGUUUUGCUAUCACUUAUAGAUGGACCCGCGCCGUAUUAGCUAGUUGGUAAGGUAACGGCUUACCAAGGCAACGAUACGUAGCCGACCUGAGAGGGUGGUCGGCCAAACUGGAACUGAGACACGGUCCAGACUCCUACGGGAGGCAGCAGUAGGGAAUCUUCCGCAAUGGGCGAAAGCCUGACGGAGCAACGCCGCGUGAGUGAUGAAGGGUUUCGGCUCGUAAAACUCUGUUAUUAGGGAAGAACAAACGUGUAAGUAACUGUGCACGUCUUGACGGUACCUAAUCAGAAAGCCACGGCUAACUACGUG